UCCGCGGUAGCUCAGUCGGUAGAGCGGUCGGCUGUUAACCGAUUGGUCGUAGGUUCGAGUCCUACCCGCGGAGCCA
rnacentral:tRNA from 2 species